rnacentral:rRNA from 1 species
GUCCUUUUGUAAAAGAUUUAAGGUCUAGCCUGCCCACUGAAAUAAUUUAAAUGGCCGCGGUAUUUUGACCGUGCUAAGGUAGCAUAAUCAUUAGUUUUUUAAUUGAAAGCUGGAAUGAAGGGUUGAAUGAAAAAAUAGCUGUCUCUUAUAAAUUUUAUUAGAAUUUUAUUUUUAGGUUAAAAAGCUUAAAUAAAUUUAAAAGACGAGAAGACCCUAUAGAGUUUUAUAUAAUGAUUAUAAUAUAGGUGAAGUAUUUAAGUAGUACUAUAAUUAUUAUAUUUAAUUGGGGUGAUUGAAAAAUUAAAUUAACUUUUUUUUUAUAAAUAUAUAAAUUAAUAGAUUUUUGAUCCAAUAUUUUUGAUUAUAAGAAUAAAUUACCUUAGGGAUAACAGCGUAAUUUUAUUGAAGAGUUCUUAUCGAUAAUAAAGAUUGCGA